rnacentral:rRNA from 1 species
AUUGAACGCUGGCGGCAUGCUUUACACAUGCAAGUCGAACGGUAACAGGCCGCAAGGUGCUGACGAGUGGCGAACGGGUGAGUAAUGCAUCGGAACGUGCCCAGUCGUGGGGGAUAACGCAGCGAAAGCUGCGCUAAUACCGCAUACGAUCUAUGGAUGAAAGCGGGGGACCGUAAGGCCUCGCGCGAUUGGAGCGGCCGAUGUCAGAUUAGGGAGUUGGUGGGGUAAAGGCUCACCAAGCCAACGAUCUGUAGCUGGUCUGAGAGGACGACCAGCCACACUGGGACUGAGACACGGCCCAGACUCCUACGGGAGGCAGCAGUGGGGAAUUUUGGACAAUGGGCGCAAGCCUGAUCCAGCAAUGCCGCGUGCAGGAAGAAGGCCUUCGGGUUGUAAACUGCUUUUGUACGGAACGAAAAGGCUCUGGUUAAUACCUGGGGCUCAUGACGGUACCGUAAGAAUAAGCACCGGCUAACUACGUGCCAGCAGCCGCCGCCGUAA